rnacentral:rRNA from 1 species
AUUGAACGCUGGCGGCAUGCCUUACACAUGCAAGUCGAACGGUAACAGGUCUUCGGAUGCUGACGAGUGGCGAACGGGUGAGUAAUACAUCGGAACGUGCCUAGUAGUGGGGGAUAACUACUCGAAAGAGUGGUUAAUACCGCAUGAGAUCUACGGAUGAAAGCAGGGGAUCGCAAGACCUUGUGCUACUAGAGCGGCCGAUGGCAGAUUAGGUAGUUGGUGGGAUAAAAGCUUACCAAGCCGACGAUCUGUAGCUGGUCUGAGAGGACGAUCAGCCACACUGGGACUGAGACACGGCCCAGACUCCUACGGGGGGCAGCAGUGGGGAAUUUUGGACAAUGGGCGAAAGCCUGAUCCAGCAAUGCCGCGUGCAGGAUGAAGGCCUUCGGGUUGUAAACUGCUUUUGUACGGAACGAAAAGCCCCGGGUUAAUACCCUGGGGUCAUGACGGUACCGUAAGAAUAAGUACCGGCUAACUACGUGCCAGCCGCCGCGGUAA